rnacentral:rRNA from 1 species
AUUGAACGCUGGCGGCAGGCUUAACACAUGCAAGUCGAGCGAGCGGCGGACGGGUGAGUAAUGUCUGGGAACCUGCCUGAUGGAGGGGGAUACCUACUGUAACCGGUAGCUAAUACCGCAUACCCUCAGAUGUGCCCAUAUGGGAUUAGCUAGUCGGUGGGGUAAUGGCUCACCUAGGCGACGAUCCCUAGCUGGUCUGAGAGGAUUACCAGCAACACUGGAACUGAGAAACGGUCCAGACGCCUACGGGAGGCAGCAGGGGGGAAUAUUGCAAAAGGGGCGCAAGCCUGAUGCAGCCAUGCCGCGUGUGUGAAGAAGGCCUGCGGGUUGUAAAGCACUUUCAGCGAGGAGGCGUUACUCGCAGAAGAAGCACCGGCUAACUCCGUGCCAGCAGCCGCGGUAAUAC